UAGAAAAAUAAGCUAAUUUAAGCUAUUGGACUCAUAAUUCAUGUAUAGGAUUCUACCUUUUUUCU
rnacentral:tRNA from 1 species